GACGAACGCUGGCGGCGUGCCUAAUACAUGCAAGUCGAGCGAGCUUGCCUAGAUGAUUUUAGUGCUUGCACUAAAUGAGACUAGAUACAAGCGAGCGGCGGACGGGUGAGUAACACGUGGGUAACCUGCCCAAGAGACUGGGAUAACACCUGGAAACAGAUGCUAAUACCGGAUAACAACACUAGACGCAUGUCUAGAGUUUGAAAGAUGGUUCUGCUAUCACUCUUGGAUGGACCUGCGGUGCAUUAGGUAGAUGGUGAGGUAACGGCCCACCAUGCCGACGAUUGGUAGCCGGACUGAGAGGUUGAACGGCCACAAGGGGACUGAGACACGGCCCUU
rnacentral:rRNA from 1 species